rnacentral:snoRNA from 1 species
GCUUCCCCUAGAGGCACUGCAGGUGUGGCUAUGUCACACGUGCAUUGGUAGAUGGCCAAGAGAAGAAAGGCUGUAUCUACACUUCAUGUUCUGACCUAUGAACAUCUGGACGAUUAGCAGCCUAACUCUC